rnacentral:rRNA from 1 species
UACGUAGGGGGCAAGCGUUAUCCGGAAUCACUGGGUGUAAAGGGUGCGUAGGCGGUUAUGCAAGUCAGAUGUGAAAUACCGAAGCUUAACUUCGGGGCUGCAUUUGAAACUGCGUGACUAGAGUACAGGAGAGGUAAGUGGAAUUCCUAGUGUAGCGGUGAAAUGCGUAGAUAUUAGGAAGAACACCAGUGGCGAAGGCGACUUACUGGAAUGAAACUGACGCUGAGGCACGAAAGCGUGGGGAGCAAACAGG